CCCUUAGAUGUCAGGGGCUGCACGCGCGCUACACUGAAGGAAUCAGCGUGCUAAAACCAUUGUCGAAAGGCAUUGGUAAACCCAUUAAAAUCCUACGUGAUUGGGAUCGGGAAUUGCAAUUAUUUCCCUUGAACGAGGAAUUCCCAGUAAGUGUGGGUCAUAAGCUCGCGUUGAUUACGUCCCUGCCCUUUGUACACACCGCCCGUCGCUGCCCGGGACUGAGCCGUUUCGAGAAAAGCGGGGACUGCUGCUGUCGGGGCUUUCGGGCCUUGGCUUCGGUGGAAACCGCUUUAAUCGCAGUGGCUUGAACCGGGCAAAAGUCGUAACA
rnacentral:rRNA from 1 species